rnacentral:rRNA from 1 species
GACGAACGCUGGCGGCGUGCCUAACACAUGCAAGUCGAGCGGGAUCCAUCCAGUAGCAAUACUGGGGAAGAUCUAGCGGCGAACGGGUGAGUAACACGUGAGAAACCUGCCCCGAAGUCUGGGAUAACCCGAGGAAACUCGAGCUAAUACCGGAUGCCCUCCUCUGGUCGCAUGGCCGGUUGAGGAAAGAUUCAUCGCUUCGGGAGGGUCUCGCGGCCUAUCAGCUAGUUGGUGGGGUAACGGCCCACCAAGGCGUCGACGGGUAGCUGGUCUGAGA